rfam:Aspergillus carbonarius ITEM 5010 unplaced genomic scaffold ASPCAscaffold_9, whole genome shotgun sequence.
GGCAAGAUGGCCGAGUGGUUAAGGCGAUGGUCUUAAGAUCCAUUAUCGUGAGAUGCACGGGUUCGAACCCCGUUCUUGCCA